ensembl:miRNA
CAGGCUUCUCCCCUCAAUCUCAGGACUAACCAUUUUAUUGUGAGCCUGAGAGGAAAGGGGAAUGCCUG